GUAAUGUCUGGGAAACUGCCUGAUGGAGGGGGAUAACUACUGGAAACGGUGGCUAAUACCGCAUAACGUCGCAAGACCAAAGAGGGGGACCUUCGGGCCUCUUGCCAUCAGAUGUGCCCAGAUGGGAUUAGCUAGUUGGUGAGGUAACGGCUCACCAAGGCGACGAUCCCUAGCUGGUCUGAGAGGAUGACCAGCCACACUGGAACUGAGACACGGUCCAGACUCCUACGGGAGGCAGCAGUGGGGAAUAUUGCACAAUGGGCGCAAGCCUGAUGCAGCCAUGCCGCGUGUAUGAAGAAGGCCUUCGGGUUGUAAAGUACUUUCAGCGGGGAGGAAGGUGUUGUGGUUAAUAACCGCAGCAAUUGACGUUACCCGCAGAAGAAGCACCGGCUAACUCCGUGCCAGCAGCCGCGGUAAUACGGAGGGUGCAAGCGUUAAUCGGAAUUACUGGGCGUAAAGCGCACGCAGGCGGUCUGUCAAGUCGGAUGUGAAAUCCCCGGGCUCAACCUGGGAACUGCAUUCGAAACUGGCAGGCUUGAGUCUUGUAGAGGGGGGUAGAAUUCCAGGUGUAGCGGUGAAAUGCGUAGAGAUCUGGAGGAAUACCGGUGGCGAAGGCGGCCCCCUGGACAAAGACUGACGCUCAGGUGCGAAAGCGUGGGGAGCAAACAGGAUUAGAUACCCUGGUAGUCCACGCCGUAAACGAUGUCUACUUGGAGGUUGUGCCCUUGAGGCGUGGCUUCCGGAGCUAACGCGUUAAGUAGACCGCCUGGGGAGUACGGCCGCAAGGUUAAAACUCAAAUGAAUUGACGGGGGCCCGCACAAGCGGUGGAGCAUGUGGUUUAAUUCGAUGCAACGCGAAGAACCUUACCUGGUCUUGACAUCCACGGAAGUUUUCAGAGAUGAGAAUGUGCCUUCGGGAACCGUGAGACAGGUGCUGCAUGGCUGUCGUCAGCUCGUGUUGUGAAAUGUUGGGUUAAGUCCCGCAACGAGC
rnacentral:rRNA from 1 species